rnacentral:rRNA from 1 species
UACAAAGGUCUCGAGCGUUGUUCGGAUUCAUUGGGCGUAAAGGGUGCGUAGGUGGCGCUGUAAGUCGGGUGUGAAAUCCUGGGGGCUUAACCCCCGGAACUGCAUUCGAUACUGCAGUGCUUGAGGACUGGAGAGGAGACUGGAAUUCAUGGUGUAGCAGUGAAAAUGCGUAGAGAUCAUGAGGAAGACCAGUGGCGAAGGCGGGUCACUGGCCCGGUACUGACGCUGAGGCACGAAAGCGUGGGGAGCAAACAGG